rnacentral:rRNA from 1 species
CGUGUAGGCGGUAUGGUAAGUCAGAUGUGAAAGCCCUGGGCUUAACCCAGGAAGUGCAUUUGAUACUGCCACUCUUGAGUAUGGGAGAGGAGAGUGGAAUUCCCAGUGUAGAGGUGAAAUUCGUAGAUAUUGGGAGGAACACCCGUGGCGAAGGCGACUCUCUGGACCAAUACUGACGCUGAGACGCGAAAGCGUGGGGAGCAAACA